UCCUCUCUCUUCGCUUGCUCGCUCGCUCGCUCGCUCAAGGGUCCAAACCCUGCGUCAAGACAGAGACAGGCAGG